UACGUAGGUGGCGAGCGUUGUCCGGAAUUACUGGGUGUAAAGGGUGCGUAGGCGGACUUGUAAGUCAGGCGUGAAAACUAUCGGCUCAACCGAUAGCCUGCGUUUGAAACUGCGAGUCUUGAGUGGUGAAGAGGUAAGCGGAAUUCCUAGUGUAGCGGUGAAAUGCGUAGAUAUUAGGAGGAACACCAGUGGCGAAGGCGGCUUACUGGGCACUAGCUGACGCUGAGGCACGAAAGCAUGGGGAGCAAACAGG
rnacentral:rRNA from 1 species